rnacentral:tRNA from 1 species
GCCUUCGUGGUGUAGCGGUCAGCACGCUCGAUAUGAAUUCGAGAGAUCCGUGGUUCGAGUCCCGGGGAAGGCA